rnacentral:rRNA from 1 species
AGGACGAACGCUGGCGGCGUGCUUAACACAUGCAAGUCGAGCGGAAAGGCCCUUCGGGGUACUCGAGCGGCGAACGGGUGAGUAACACGUGAGUAAUCUGCCCUUGACUCUGGGAUAGCUCCGGGAAACCGGGAUUAAUACCAGAUAUGACUGCCUUAGACAUCUUUGGUGGUGGAAAGUUUUUCGGUCAGGGAUGAGCUCGCGGCCUAUCAGCUUGUUGGUGGGUAAUGGCCUACCAAGGCGACGACGGUA